rnacentral:rRNA from 1 species
UACAGGGGGGGCAAGCGUUGUUCGGAAUUAUUGGGCGUAAAGCGCGUGUAGGCGGCUUUGCAAGUCGGGUGUGAAAGCCCUCAGCUCAACUGAGGAAGUGCGCCCGAAACUGCAGAGCUUGAGUGCCGGAGAGGGUGGCGGAAUUCCCCAAGUAGAGGGUGAAAUUCGUAGAUAUCGAGAGGAACAUCGGUGGCGAAGGCGGCCUUCUGGACAGCGACUGACGCUGAGACGCGAAAGCGUGGGGAGCAAACAGG